AUUGAACGCUGGCGGCAUGCUUUACACAUGCAAGUCGAACGGUAACAGGCCGCAAGGUGCUGACGAGUGGCGAACGGGUGAGUAAUGCAUCGGAACGUGCCCAGUCGUGGGGGAUAACUACUCGAAAGAGUAGCUAAUACCGCAUACGAUCUAUGGAUGAAAGCGGGGGACCGUAAGGCCUCGCGCGAUUGGAGCGGCCGAUGUCAGAUUAGGUAGUUGGUGGGGUAAAGGCUCACCAAGCCAACGAUCUGUAGCUGGUCGGAGAGGACGACCAGCCACACUGGGACUGAGACACGGCCCAGACCCCUACGGGAGGCAGCAGUGGGGAAUUUUGGACAAUGGGCGCAAGCCUGAUCCAGCAAUGCCGCGUGCAGGAAGAAGGCCUUCGGGUUGUAAACUGCUUUUGUACGGAACGAAACGGCUCUGGUUAAUACCCGGGGCUAAUGACGGUACCGUAAGAAUAAGCACCGGCUAACUACGU
rnacentral:rRNA from 1 species